rnacentral:lncRNA from 1 species
GUGGAGUAAUACAACAAGGAGGAGAAGAGCUCCAAGGGGAGGAAACAUAAGUGAGAGAUUAAGUGACAUGUUUUGGAAACAUUGAAUGGUUGGGCCUGGGUGAUUAUAGAGCACCAUUACAGGCCAGGAUGCCAGGCCAGCAGAGAGCUGACCCUGAAGGGCUCUGGAAGCCUUGAUGCGAAAGAAGUUGCAUGCUGAUCUGAAGGUUAUAAGAAGCCAGUGAAGAAUUUCAUCUGGAGGAGUAAGAUGAUCUUAUUUAUUUUAAAAGAUCACACUGCCCUUGAAGUGGACGGUGGACCAACUAUAGCGAGAUUUGGAGAUUAAGAAGCAAAGGAGAUAAACAUGAAUCUCUUCCAGAAGACCCAGGAAAAAUACCAUUGCGACCUGAUGGCUCUGAUUGGGUCACAUAUUCAAGCAUGUAAAGCCCCCCAGGACAUAGUUGUAUAUUCUGGUUGUGAGUGCCUCUGGUUGUGGCAUGUGGGAUGCUGCCUCAGCGUGGCCUGAAGAACGGUACCUUGUCAGCGCCCAGGACCCAAACCGGUGAAACCCUGGGCCGCCCAAGCAGAGUGUGCGAAAACCACUCGGCCAGGGGCCAGCCCUCCAGUUGUAGGUUAUUAAAACUUCCUAGACAUCAGAAUAGUCAUAAUUUGAAAUGCUGGUUUCAAAGAUACCUCCAUUAUUGAUUAAUUAAGAUAUCCUAAACCUACACAGCUUUCCGUCCUUCCCUUUUCCUCAUGUCUGUUAAGGCAGAGGUUGUUCAGAAUUCAGAAAAAACAAAGGAGUAUAGGUCAUGAUGUUGACUUUUCAAAAUAUAACUGGAAUGCUUGCUGGGGUUCCCUGCAUUUUGCAAGAACACAUUAGAUUACCAUUGAUAAAAUAUUUACAUGACUUUUUCUCAAAUUCUGUGAACGUUAUUUAAUAAAGUAGUUAAAAUCCAUUUUAAAUAAA